rnacentral:lncRNA from 1 species
AUGAUUCUCUCCUUGGUCUGCUAAAAUAUCACUCACCUUUCUAAUUUUUUUAAAGUUUUGAGUCUAUUAUGAGUGAAGCAUAUUGUGCUGCCAUUGCCAUACUGAUAUAUUUAAGGUAGUGUUGAAAUAAUAUCUGACCGGGAUUUUUCUUCUCUCUUGGACAGCGGUCUACAAAAAUCUAACAGUGAAUAACUUGAUUUGAGGAACUGAGUAAUUCUUGAUUGUUCACAACUGAACACACCGAGCAGCGUUUGGCUUCUAUCACUUCACAACCCCCACAGAAGGAGGAAUUCAGGCAUCUGCUGUUGGGAAACAGGAAACUGUGCUCGAUGGACUCUCACCCACUCAGAGGAACUCUAACGCAAUUGAAUUAAGAGCCUAUUUCCAGCAGAGGCCUCUUGCUGACAUUAUGAAGUCCAAAGUGCAGCGCACAAACAGAAGAGUCCGUACAAUGGGAUACCUGUGACAUCUGUUAUAUUUUGCAGCACAGUAAGAGCCAUAUUUUAUUUUACACAUUACCUUGGGCAACAAAUAGCGCAGAGUGUGGGGGAAUGGUCUCUCUCAAACUCUUUUGCCUUGAAUGGAAAGUGAAGUUGCUGCAUCCUUCAAACGACAGUGCUCACUUCUCUCCUCAGG